rnacentral:lncRNA from 10 species
AGGAAAAGGAAACACAAAUGUUGUUGACAGUUAAUAACCGUACUCACUCAGAACCUGGUGCAAGUGCGUUGAGAAUGCCCUCCCACUAUGAGUAAAGGCCUGCCCGCAUUGCAUGGGCUCAGGGCUAGGAAAGGCUGCUUUCCUGUGCUAUGUCACAGAUAAGUGACACACUCAGCUGGAUGAGGGGACCCCAAGAGAAGGAGGAAUCAAGUCACCCUCCUUGGCUCCAUUCUUGGGAAAGUUUUGCAACAAGAAUAUUCCGUCUUCACUGUCGUGGGAGUUGAAGGUGGAGAAGGGAAGUCAGUCCUUCACCUUGAGGGAGAAGGGGCCACCUGCUGAGGCUGUGGGCCAUGGUGUCAGAGAUGCCUGGGUUAGGGCCCCACAUCCAUCUCUUCAGCCUUUCAAGCCUCGCUUUCCUCAUCUGUAAGUUGGGGAUAAAGAUAAUAAUCCCUGCGUCCUGAAGGCCACUGAAUUGAAUGAAAGCUU